rnacentral:rRNA from 1 species
UACGAAGGGGGCUAGCGUUGCUCGGAAUCACUGGGCGUAAAGGGUGCGUAGGCCGGGGUUUUUAAGUCAGGGGUGAAAUCCUGGAGCUCAACGUCCAGAACUGCCUUUGAUACUGAAGAUCUUGAGUUCGGGAGAGGUGAGUGGAACUGCGAGUGUAGAGGUGAAAUUCGUAGAUAUUCGCAAGAACACCAGUGGCGAAGGCGGCUCACUGGCCCGAUACGUGACGCU